AAAUUACUGAAUCGUGAUAAAAAAUCACCCUGUAUUAUGGCUUAACUAUUUGGAUCCACAUAAGAACUAAAAAUGCCAAAUAUCUAUAAAUAACACAAAAAUGUCUCAAAAGUUUCCAAAAUUGUACGUUUAAAAAAUAAUUUUUAUAAGUAGUCUAUGAAAAUAUUAGGUUAAACAAUAUUCGAUAUCGAUAUAAUAAUAUAACAUUUAUAUUGGGUAUUAAUUUUGUAUUUUGUACUAUU